ACAAAUUUCUAAAAAAUAUAAAGCAUUUUUAUCAUUUACUUUAGGCAUUUCUUUUUAAAUGUAUUUAAAUUUUUUCAGCAUCAUAAACAGGUGGCCACCUGUUGCUGGUUGUAGUUACGGAGUUUUGAUGGUGGGACUAUGGUGAAACUACGGUGUUGGGACUGUACUUGUUGCUUCGUACUUUUCAUGUCUUACGACAGAUGUCAUACAUGGUGGUGAUUGGAGACACAUCUGUUUGAGGAAAUAGCAUAAAGAGAUUGUCAAGCGCGCUGAUACAGUAGAAUCUCUGCAAAGAAAAAUAUUUGGCAUUAAAAUUGAUCGUUCCUUGUUUCUAGAGGACUGCCAACGCUUUCUACUAAUGAGCAGGAGUUGUGUGCACGGACAGCACAGGAUGACUUCGGGAUAUCCCAAUUGUACCCCGAAUGUCCCAAAACUGUCCUGACAACCUUCGGAUAACUUCGGGAUGUCACGCUUUAGAUACAUAUUCAUGAGUCCUGGCAUAAGCCAUUAAGAACAUCCUGAGGAUAUCCUCAGGAUCGACAGACCGUCCUGCAAAAAUUAUAUAAGUUUAUUUUUAGAUUUUUUAGAUUCUAUUUACAUAAUAUACAUAAAUAGAUUUAUAUAGAGUUCUGAAUAUAAAUGAGAGUGUAUACGGAACUGAAUCACGAUUGCGGUUACUAAAUUUUAGUCAAUUGCAUCGACUGAUUUCUACCGUUAACAAAAUCAGUCGAUGCCAUUGGACUGAAUUUAAUAACCGCAUCGUGGUUCGAUUAUGAAAUAUACAUUAAAUUAGAAUCAGCAUAUAAUAUAAUACUUUAGCCGGAUGGUAGAACUAAUUUGUCAAAAAAUAGAGCGCAAAAUACAUACGGAAACUCCUUCCAGAUUCAGAAUCUAGGAAAACUCACGCUGUAUACUUACCGUCUUCUAACUCAACUUGAAAUUUGUACAUGAUACAUUCCUAAUAUGCAGCUCGACAUGUGAAAGAAAUACUUCUCUAAGGAUGUCCGGAGGAUCAUAAAUAUGUGGACAUUUGCGCCUCAUCAGGAUAUUCAGAUUAAGGCCCGAGACCCCUUAUCAGGACGUCCAUAGGACUUGCGAAAUAUCCAUUUAAAAUAUCCAUGAGACUUCCUCAGGACGUCCUUGUGCAAUCUGGGCAAUGCUGAUGCAUAACAGCGUCGCCUAGCGGAAUUGUGCUUGUCUUACUUGUCCUAUUCCCGUGAUCUGGUCGAGCUUAUUCAUUCGAGUAGUCAUAUAAGGGUAGUCACCCUGUUAGAGUAGCUACACGUAAAGACCAUAUCGAGGGUUGCCCUUCCGCCUAACCCGCUGAGCUUGCUCAGCGGGUCGGGCCCAAGUUUCCUCAUUCUCCUCUUCUUUCCUGCUUGCAUGCAUUCCUCCGUUCUUCACGAGAAUUCUCUCUAUGCUCAGCCCGACGAAGGAAAUAGAGGAAGUAAAACAAACAAACAUAAGGGCGAGAGUGGGGGCCAGAAUGUGACAAGGAGAUACAAGCAACGAGUGACAGAAAUAAACAAGUGUGGAAGUUGGAAGUAAAGAAUAGAACUAAAGAUGUAAAGAAGUAUGAUAGAAAUUAGGAAAGUAAUAAAAAUGAAAUACAGAAGGUGAGGAGUAAAGAAGUAAAGAAGGAAUAAAUUGAGAGAAAUAAAUUCAUGAGGAAUUAAAGAAAUGGUGAAAAAAUUAAUAAAAAAAGUGGGGAAGAAAGUAAAGAGUUAAAGGAGAAGCAAAGAAAGAAAUGGAUAAGACGAAAGCAUCCAAGAGACGAGUAUAGGAAACCGGUUCUUGGAAGAAUGAACGCUCUCAGCCCAAACUCUUCCUUUAAUGCUCACCCCCGCAGUCCUCGUCUCCUGCCUGCAGAGUCGAUGAGUGAUGAGCGAACGAGCAGACGACAGAUAACCCCUUACGGAAAAAAAUAUAGAUAUAAAACUGCUAGAAAAAUAACUAUUUGAAACUAUUGCUAUUAUAAACUAAAAGCUAUUGGAAUAAAUAUACCUAAUACGUCAAGAAUGCGUCGUAAACUGGUGCAAUUGAAAAAUAAUUGAAAUAAAACACAUUACUCGUGA